rnacentral:lncRNA from 1 species
GAUGACCAGUUCUCUCUUCUCUCAACCCCUCUCUAUAUAUUGGUAGCCAAACAUUUCUCAUCGUCAACCAAAGUGAUCGAGUGCCUGCCUAGCUAGUGUUGCAUCGGGUGGGGCAUGGACAAGUACACGAUUCGCAUCCUUGCAAUAGCAGCCCUAGUCUGUCUACAUCUCGUAUGCUCUGCCACCGUUGCUCAAUGUAAGGCAGCUAGCACACCAAUACUUCUGUAUCUGCACAAUGCUUAUUUUUUCUUCACUUAUCCUGGUAUGAAGUACGUAUGUACGUAGUGUAGCUAGUGAAGGCCUUUCUAUUUUGCUUCUUCUCUAAUCUGUCGCGUCCUUUAUUUAUACUACUCUCAAACAAUUUCAUAACAAUGGUUGUUCGUUUGUUAUUAUCCCAUAAAAUGCAGGCCGAAACAUGGCCGAUAAGGAUAGGAAGAAGAUCGCUCUACCAUACGGGCUAUGCGUUCAAGUAGGUCCUGACGAUUGUGGGGACGGUGGUUGCUUCCAUUGUUUGGUAAAUGAUGCCUUCUACCGCAGUAUGGAUGAGUGCAAGAGCAAGUGUAACACAACCUCGUCUACGUCCCCUCCUUCUUUACACGCUCCUUAAAUUUCUAGUCUAACAUAGCCUAGCCAAAUUGGCUUACAUAUGUUGGAGAUUGUCCCAAGAAAAAUGUCUGAUGUGUGAAAAUGCAGUUCUGCAAUAAGAGUAAUAUGUACUCCGGCAGUUAAUUGUUGCUGAGUAUUUUGGUUUGGCAAAUUGCAUUUGAACUUUUACUAGCAAUUGUUGGGAGAGCGACGAAAUGACUUCCAAGCGCAGAUGCUUUAGAAAUUUGAG